UACGUAGGGUGCAGGCGUUAAUCGGAAUUACUGGGCGUAAAGCGUGCGCAGGCGGUUUCUUAAGUCAGAUGUGAAAGCCCCGGGCUUAACCUGGGAACUGCGUUUGAAACUGGGAGACUUGAGUGUGGCAGAGGGGGGUGGAAUUCCACGUGUAGCAGUGAAAUGCGUAGAUAUCCGAAGGAACAUCAGUGGCGAAAGCGGCUUCCUGGUCCAGCACCGACGUUCAGGCACGAAAGCGUGGGGAGCAAACAGG
rnacentral:rRNA from 1 species